GGAGUUAGAUGGUCUGUGUGCUG
rnacentral:piRNA from 1 species